rnacentral:lncRNA from 1 species
UCAGUGGUGCCCAAAACAUGCAAUCAUAUAAGGCAAGUAACGAGUAUUAAAAUUCAACAAUUAGGAAAGCGUAUAACAGCACACGGUAGGAUACAGGGCUCUCAGGAGCCAUUCUCCGCGCUUGAUCAGAAAUUACCGUAGUUGACCCUCCGUCAACUCUCACUACUAACGGUCCAUGUAGAACUCCUUAUUUUACUUAACUCCGGCCACCGAUCAUACCCCAGCUCCGGGCCCGCACGACAAAAUAAAAGAGAGCGGUAGUACUCGAGUAUACCCCCUGGAUAAACUAGUCGAGGGAUUCACCCAACGACGUCACAAAAUAAGAAAUUACCAGGUCAGGAUAAGAGGCC